UACGGGGGGAGCAAGCGUUGUUCGGAUUUACUGGGCGUAAAGGGCGCGUAGGCGGCCCGGUAAGUAGGGGGUGAAAUCCUGCGGCUUAACCGCAGGGCUGCCUUCUAAACUGUCGGGCUCGAGCACGGUAGAGGCAGAUGGAAUUCCCGGUGUAGCGGUGGAAUGCGUAGAGAUCGGGAAGAACACCGGUGGCGAAGGCGGCGACCUGGGUAGAUACUGACGCUGAGGCGCGAAAGCGUGGGGAGCAAACAGG
rnacentral:rRNA from 1 species